GCCGUCUUAGCUCAGUUGGUAGAGCGCGUGACUUGUAAUCUCGAGGUCUUCGGUUCGAUUCCGAAAGAUGGCU
rnacentral:tRNA from 1 species